rnacentral:rRNA from 1 species
AUUGAACGCUGGCGGCAGGCCUAACACAUGCAAGUCGAGCGGUUGACGGGAGCUUGCUCCCUGAUUCAGCGGCGGACGGGUGAGUAAUGCCUAGGAAUCUGCCUAUUAGUGGGGGACAACGCUUCGAAAGGAACGCUAAUACCGCAUACGUCCUACGGGAGAAAGCUGGGGACCUUCGGGCCUUGCGCUAAUAGAUGAGCCUAGGUCGGAUUAGCUUGUUGGUGAGGUAAUGGCUCACCAAGGCGACGAUCCGUAACUGGUCUGAGAGGAUGAUCAGUCACACUGGAACUGAGACACGGUCCAGACUCCUACGGGAGGCAGCAGUGGGGAAUAUUGGACAAUGGGCGAAAGCCUGAUCCAGCCAUGCCGCGUGUGUGAAGAAGGUCUUCGGAUUGUAAAGCACUUUAAGUUGGGAGGAAGGGUUGUAGAUUAAUACUCUGCAAUUUUGACGUUACCGACAGAAUAAGCACCGGCUAACUCUGUGCCAGCCGCCGCCGUAA